rnacentral:rRNA from 1 species
GAUGAACGCUGGCGGCGUGCUUGAUACAUGCAAGUCGAACGGAGAGUUAGCAAUAGCUCUUAGUGGCGAACGGGUGAGUAACGCGUUGGUGACCUGCCCCGAAGUGGGGGAUAACAGCUCGAAAGGGCUGCUAAUACCCCAUGUUGUCAUGAGGGUUAGAGGCCUUGUGACUAAAGGAGUAAUUCGCUUCGGGAGGGGCCUGCGUCCCAUCAGCUAGUUGGUAGGGUAAUGGCCUACCAAGGCUACGACGGGUAGGGGGCCUGAGAGGGUGACCCCCCACACUGGCACUGAAACACGGGCCAGACACCUACGGGUGGCUG